UGAGCUGCUUGAUGAGAUGUGUCGAGGUGCUCCGAAAAGACUUGUGCUCUUUGCUAGGAAAAGCAAGCUCCUUUAGUUAUAGUGCUUUACCUUUGCUUUGUUCAUGUUUUUUAGUUCCAUGUUUCGUUGUUAUUUUGACCCCUCCUUCAGACUGAUGGUAUCAUCACGUAUCUCUAGGCCCAGCAAUUGGAGUGUGUCGUGGGAGCGUGGCCUGCUUGAUAAGUGGUGCCGUGGCGCCCCGGGAAGAUUAUGCACAUUGCCAGGAACAAGCAAGCUUCUUUUGUUUAGUGCUUCAUUUAGCUUUGCUUGGUUCAUGUUGUUAGUUUCCUGUUCGCCCGAAUGAGCUUCUCUUCUAUAGCUGGUAUCUCCAGCAGGGUUGGUGUUAGUGUGUGUUUGUAUGCUUCCUAUUUAUUGAUUGUUGCUUUGUAUAUAUAAGUAUAUAACAGGGCGAAAGCCUUUUCGACAAAUACAUACCAUGGCAACGGAGUAUUGUGAAGUAACAAGUUCUGUAGAAUCCGCUGGCCCGGUGAGCAAAGAACUAUCGGAUCACCACGGUGCUCGUGACCUUUGAGGAAGACCCCGGGCUGCCUAGCUCGCCGCGUCAACGCUUUUGGUCGUGCUUAAAAGUCCGGCCAGAUUAGUGUCGGAUGUAAAGCAAGUUGGGCUCUAGUUAAUCGUAUAUAGAUGACGAUGGUCGUUGCGUCCACUAAACUAAUGGUGUGAUUAGCUUCCUUACGUCAUUUCGUUUUAGAUAAAAAUAAAUAAAAUUCAGCCGGCCAUGUCCUCCUUUCUCUAGCAACAGGGUUUAAAAUAGUUA
rnacentral:lncRNA from 1 species